rnacentral:rRNA from 1 species
CCUACGGGUGGCAGCAGUCGAGAAUCAUUCACAAUGGGGGAAACCCUGAUGGGGCGACGCCGCGUGGGGGAAAGAAGGUCGGCGGAUUGUAAACCCAUGUCAUGGGGGAGAAAAGUAAAAAGAUAGUACCACAAGAGGAAGAGACGGCGAACGCAGCGACAGCAGCCGCGGUAAUACAGAGGGCUCAAGCGUUGUUCGGAACAACUGGGCGUAAAGCGUGCGGAGGCUUUUGCGUAAGGCGUGUGUGAAAGGCGCGGCCUCAACCCGCGGACUGCACCUGAUACUGCGAGACUAGAGUAAUGGAGAGGGCACCGGAAUUCUCGGUGUAGCCGUG